AGGCUAAAAGCCAACAAGCCCAUCGCACUUCAGCCCGCACAAGUCACCUCAAGGCCGUCUACCCACCCCCUGCUUGCACCACAGCCCACCAUCACUCCUUUUUCGCCCAAGCAGCCAGGGACUGGAACGAUCUUCCCCCAA
rnacentral:lncRNA from 1 species